rnacentral:lncRNA from 1 species
CUCGGCAGCCGAUGCUCCUUCAGCCGUAGACAGCGCAAACGGCCGGCAUGGUGACAGCCGUCCAGUAGCAGUUCUUCGAAACGUGAACCAUAAACGCAAGGAGACAAGGACAACUAACGCGGAAAGCCUGCACACGGUGACGGUGCGGGUGUCCGGGAUGCGUCUUGUCUACGGCGGCUCAGCGUAAACAAACUGCUCCUAUUCGCGUUUCGUGGGCGCUGCCAUCUUGACUUCAAAAUAA